UCUUCUUCCUGUGGAUGGUGGUUUCUUUAAACUCUUGACCAUUCCUCUUUGUAUAAGCUACACAUUGUGCAAGACACAGGCAAAAAGGAUCUCUUUUUCUUCAUAUAUGGUAGAAACUUAACAAAACAGAGUAUCUCUCUGCUGUUUAAGCCAUUGUCAGAAUCCACCUGUAUGUCAAAUUCAGGGACUGUGUUAUAACGUCUUUGCAUACAUGGAGGUGCCAGAGACUGCAAAAAUCUCUUUACUUUGCCAAAGCAAAUAAAUGAAGAAAGUCUCCAAGAACAAGAGCAUCCUAGCAGAGAAGCCCAAAUCACAGCCUAGUUCAUGCCCAUGAAUUGAGAUCUAUACUUGGUCAGAAUCAAGGAAAUGCCCAAGUUUUUUAAGGAGAGCAAGAAUCUAUGGACAGAUGUAUUAUGGGAAAG